rnacentral:rRNA from 1 species
CCCUACGGGGGGCAGCAGUGGGGAAUAUUGCACAAUGGGGGAAACCCUGAUGCAGCAACGCCGCGUGAGUGAAGAAGUCAUUCGUGAUGUAAAGCUCUAUCAGCAGGGAAGAAAAAGACGGUACCUGACUAAGAAGCCCCGGCUAACUACGUGCCAGCAGCCGCGGUAAUACGUAGGGGGCAAGCGUUAUCCGGAUUUACUGGGUGUAAAGGGAGCGUAGACGGCUGUGCAAGUCUGAAGUGAAAGCCCAGGGCUCAACCCUGGGACUGCUUUGGAAACUGUGGAGCUAGAGUGCUGGCGAGGUA